GAUGAACGCUGGCGGCGUGCCUAAUACAUGCAAGUCGAGCGAACAGAUGAGGAGCUUGCUCCUCUGACGUUAGCGGCGGACGGGUGAGUAACACGUGGAUAACCUGCCUAUAAGACUGGGAUAACUUCGGGAAACCGGAGCUAAUACCGGAUAAUAUAUUGAACCGCAUGGUUCAAUAGUGAAAGACGGUUUUGCUGUCACUUAUAGAUGGAUCCGCGCCGCAUUAGCUAGUUGGUAAGGUAACGGCUUACCAAGGCAACGAUGCGUAGCCGACCUGAGAGGGUGAUCGGCCACACUGGAACUGAGACACGGUCCAGACUCCUACGGGAGGCAGCAGUAGGGAAUCUUCCGCAAUGGGCGAAAGCCUGACGGAGCAACGCCGCGUGAGUGAUGAAGGUCUUCGGAUCGUAAAACCCUGUUAUUAGGGAAGAACAAAUGUGUAAGUAACUAUGCACGUCUUGACGGUACCUAAUCAGAAAGCCACGGCUAACUACGUG
rnacentral:rRNA from 1 species